GAGAAUUUUCUUUUCCCCCUGCAUGUCUGAAAGGAGCUAGAGAGAACCACAGUUUUUCGGAAGGCUGUUUUUCACCCACUAAAUAGGUCUUAAGAAUAUCAGCAAACACGUUGAGAGCAUUUCUACAGACCAGACUUCAUCCUAACCUCUUUACAUAUUCACGCCUCAUAAGGACUCCAGGAUUUACUGAUGAGGAACCAAGACACAGGAGGUUGAAGCAAUUUGCUCAGGGUCGAACAGCGCGGGGCCGGUGGAGUCGUAAUUUGCACACAGGCAGUCUGCCUCAAGCCUUGCUUUAUGGACGGCCAGGUUCCUUCUGAGAAACCCCCUAUUCAAGGUGGGUUAAAAAAAACGACACCAGCCUAUUAAUGCUCUCACAUUUUUUACCAACAAUCUGCGAAGUUACAAAUGACCCGAGGCAAUCAUGGAGGAAACCAGGGAGCCGUUUCAACAAGUUCGAGGGAGAAUUUUUUGCUAAGGUUACAUUUCUAGAUCAGAAAUGUGCAAAUGGUGGCCAGACUGGCCUCUUUCAUGGUGAUGAAGGAAGAAAGCCAGCUGAAACUCCAUUCUAGGCAGAAUUUAUGGGUCUGUUCACAAGAAUUCUUUUGCAUCACCAUCACUUGUCUACAAGGUACAGAGAUGCAACAGUGCUCCGAGACAAAGACUAGAAUCAGAAUCUGGGAAGGUGGGAUCGAAUCAAUGCAUUUCCCCUGGAAGCACAGUGUUCCCCUCACUUAGCCUUAUGUCCCUAUGGAAAACCAGAAAGGGAAUCAGAAACGGACCUCUCUGUUUGCCGGCCAUCUGAGCAAUUGCAAAACUCUAGUUCAGUUCCUCAUUACCUCAUUACUUGUCACCUGUGUAGGUGCAGAAGCUUCCUUGCCUGCUCUCUCUUCCUCCAGACUCCUCUUCCUCCAGUUCCUGCGACAUGCUGCUGACAGUUUGAUCUUCUUUGGGCACUUCUGUGAUCGUCACAGUCCCCUGAAAAACUGUAAGUGGUUCCCUGCUGCCUGCAGAUAAUAUUGGAAAGUUCUAACCUGGUCCCCCAGGAUUUAACCCUGUAUCUGUAAAGGGUUCCACGUGGCAAGUUACAGAAACCGACUCUGGUUGAUUUAAGCAAAAAAGGGAAUUUCGAAAAAAGGAUAUUGGGCAGCUCACAAAAUUGCUGGGAGGGCUGGAGAACCAGGCUCAGAAGCUUCUGCUGCCAGAACACAUUUUCAAAAUCCUGCCGAAGAACUGGUUGGAUGAGGACACCACAGCUGCUGCCACCAAACACUAGAAGAGGUAGUUCCCAUCCCUGACACUCCUACCUUCUCCUGCAGCCACCAUUCCAAUGUGUCCAAAACACAAAAUUCUGUGUCAUCAGUGAUAGUCUGAAUUUUUUUUUUUUGUCCUGUCCCUGCUUCUUACAAGUUCCCUAUUCAAAAAUCCAGUGGGUGAGUGCCUCUGUCUGGUGGACCUUAGGUCAUUUGCCCAUGCCCUGGCCGCACGAUAGCAUGGGAAAGAGCAGCUGGAAGAUGGGUCAUCUUUAACGGUAGGUGGCAUCUGCCUCCUUCCAUGACUCAAAAAUGGUGAAUUCCAGCAAAGAAACAGGGAAUUCCUCCAAGGAAAAUCUGGGUGGUUCAGAUGCUGGGUAAAUGGUUAAUAUUCACUACA